ACUCCUACGGGAGGCAGCAGUGGGGAAUAUUGCACAAUGGGCGCAAGCCUGAUGCAGCCAUGCCGCGUGUGUGAAGAAGGCCUUCGGGUUGUAAAGCACUUUCAGUCGUGAGGAAGGUGGUAGUGUUAAUAGCACUAUCAUUUGACGUUAGCGACAGAAGAAGCACCGGCUAACUCCGUGCCAGCAGCCGCGGUAAUACGGAGGGUGCGAGCGUUAAUCGGAAUUACUGGGCGUAAAGCGCAUGCAGGUGGUUUGUUAAGUCAGAUGUGAAAGCCCGGGGCUCAACCUCGGAAUAGCAUUUGAAACUGGCAGACUAGAGUACUGUAGAGGGGGUAGAAUUUCAGGUGUAGCGGUGAAAUGCGUAGAGAUCUGAAGGAAUACCGGUGGCGAAGGCGGCCCCCUGGACAGAUACUGACACUCAGAUGCGAAAGCGUGGGGAGCAAACAGGAUUAGAUACCCUGGUA
rnacentral:rRNA from 1 species